AGGAUCUAUUCUGUUGAAUUAUCCUUCACGCCAAGUCCAGUUGGUCAACAACCAUUACCUGCUCCACUAAAGCUUACCUAUUCGAGUUUCAAUGACACCGCGAACGACACAAUAAUUAUGGUUAUUCACUGGAAUCCAGACCACCAACAAUGGCAGAUAACAAAUAACACCUGCAUGUUGGAAAAUGUAACAUUCGAAAAUGAGACAAUUGAUGGAUUAUCUUCAAUCUGGAUUUGCGAUACCCGUUUGUCAGCUGAUAUAAUGGCGGAAAAUCAAACAUACUUUUCGAAGGAAACUCAGUUUGCACUAGCGACAGUAUCAUCGAAAGUCAUUAACAACCCGCCAGUAUUUACAGAAACCUCAAUCACUAUAGAUGAA